AGUGAACGCUGGCGGUAGGCCUAACACAUGCAAGUCGAACGGCAGCACAGUAAGAGCUUGCUCUUACGGGUGGCGAGUGGCGGACGGGUGAGGAAUACAUCGGAAUCUACUUUUUCGUGGGGGAUAACGUAGGGAAACUUACGCUAAUACCGCAUACGACCUACGGGUGAAAGCAGGGGAUCUUCGGACCUUGCGCGAUUGAAUGAGCCGAUGUCGGAUUAGCUAGUUGGCGGGGUAAAGGCCCACCAAGGCGACGAUCCGUAGCUGGUCUGAGAGGAUGAUAAGCCACACUGGAACUGAGACACGGUCCAGACUCCUACGGCAGGCAGCAGUGGGGAAUAUUGGACAAUGGGCGCAAGCCUGAUCCAGCCAUACCGCGUGGGUGAAGAAGGCCUUCGGGUUGUAAAGCCCUUUUGUUGGGAAAGAAAAGCAGCAGGUUAAUACCCCGCUGUUCUGACGGUACCCAAAGAAUAAGCACCGGCUAACUUCGUG
rnacentral:rRNA from 1 species